GACGAACGCUGGCGGCGUGCUUAACACAUGCAAGUCGAACGAAGUGGCGAACGGGAGAGUAACGCGUAAUCAACCUGCCCUUCAGAGGGGGACAACAGGUGGAAACGAAUGCUAAUACCGCAUACUGAAGGAGGGGAUGGCGUCUGAUUAGCUAGUUGGGGGGGUAAAGGCCCACCAAGGCGAUGAUCAGGAGCCGGGCUGAGAGGGUGAACGGCCACAUUGGGACUGAGACACGGCCCAGACUCCUACGGGAGGCAGCAGUGGGGAAUCUUCCGCAAUGGACGAAAGUCUGACGGAGCAACGCCGCGUGAGUGAUGACGGCCUUCGGGUUGUAAAGCUCUGUUAAUCGGGACGCGGUACCGGAAUAGAAAGCCACGGCUAACUACGUGCCAGCAGCCGCGGUAAUUC
rnacentral:rRNA from 1 species